AACGAACGCUGGCGGCAGGCUUAACACAUGCAAGUCGAACGCUCUAGCAAUAGAGAGUGGCGCACGGGUGAGUAACGCGUGGGAAUAUACCUUAUUGUGGGGAAUAACGUUGGGAAACUAACGCUAAUACCGCAUACGCCCGAGAGGGGAAAGAUUUCUCGCUAUAAGAUUAGCCCGCGUGAGAUUAGGUAGUUGGUGGGGUAAUGGCCUACCAAGCCGACGAUCUCUAGCUGGUCUGAGAGGAUGAUCAGCCACACUGGAACUGAGACACGGUCCAGACUCCUACGGGAGGCAGCAGUGGGGAAUAUUGGACAAUGGGGGCAACCCUGAUCCAGCCAUGCCGCGUGAGUGAUGAAGGCCUUAGGGUUGUAAAGCUCUUUCGCCGAUGAAGAUAAUGACGGUAGUCGGAGAAGAAGCCCCGGCUAACUUCGUGCCAGCCGCCGCAGUAA
rnacentral:rRNA from 1 species